rnacentral:lncRNA from 1 species
GGCUGAGAUAAUCUGCUAAUGUGGGUGCAGCAGACAUCCCGCGGUUUGUGGAAUCGAUAAAGGAUGGGGAUCAAUGGUGUUUGUGCACUGUGCGGUCUGUGCCCAAUUGCCUGCCUUGUGCUGUGGAAUCUGUACAUCUGGCCAACAUGUGCUUGUGUGAGCCUGACAGUGCAUUUUCCAGAGCCUCACCUCGGCUCUGCCCUGGAGGCUCUGUGCUGCUGGAAUCAGACUCAAGGACCUCAUCAGAGGACCAUGGCCCCGUAUCACCUGGGUCAGGCACUGAAGCUGGGACAGGAGAGCAGAGACUUCCAAAAUGAGGGAUCCCUGUGUUCUGAGGUGAUCAUGACUGGGACCCAAGGACUCAAGCGCAUGCUCCAGAGGGAAUCGUUUCCCACAAGGCCUUUGGCAGGAACAGGGAUCCUGGGAGCCUGCCAAGCAGAGCGCACAGUGUUCCUGGAGUCUCGCUGCCCAGAUGCCACGGAAUCAGUUGAAGACUGGGGAAGUGGGGAACCGAGGGGCAACCAGGGGAAGAUGGGGUGCUGGAGGAGAGCUUGUGGGAGCCAAGGAGCACCUUGGACAUCUGGAGUCUGGCAGGAGUGAUGACGGGUGGAGGGGCUAGCUCGAGGCAGGGCUGGUGGGGCCUGAGGCCAGUGAGGAGUGUGGAGUAGGCGCCCAGGCAUCGUGCAGACAGGGCGACAUCAGCUGGGGACGAUGGGCCUGAGCUAGGGCUGGAAAGAAGGGGGAGCCAGGCAUUCAUCCCGGUCACUUUUGGUUACAGGACGUGGCAGCUGGUUGGACGAGGGGAGCUGGUGGGCAGGGUUUGAUCCCAGGGCCUGGGCAACGGAGGUGUAGCUGGCAGCAGCGGGCAGGUGAGGACCCCAUCUGCCGGGCAGGUGAGUCCCUUCCCUCCCCAGGCCUCGCUUCCCCAGCCUUCUGAAAGAAGGAGGUUUAGGGGAUCGAGGGCUGGCGGGGAGAAGCAGACACCCUCCCAGCAGAGGGGCAGGAUGGGGGCAGGAGAGUUAGCAAAGGUGACAUCUUCUCGGGGGGAGCCGAGACUGCGCAAGGCUGGGGGGUUAUGGGCCCGUUCCAGGCAGAAAGAGCAAGAGGGCAGGGAGGGAGCACAGGGGUGGCCAGCGUAGGGUCCAGCACGUGGGGUGGUACCCCAGGCCUGGGUCAGACAGGGACAUGGCAGGGGACACAGGACAGAGGGGUCCCCAGCUGCCACCUCACCCACCGCAAUUCAUUUAGUAGCAGGCACAGGGGCAGCUCCGGCACGGCUUUCUCAGGCCUAUGCCGGAGCCUCGAGGGCUGGAGAGCGGGAAGACAGGCAGUGCUCGGGGAGUUGCAGCAGGACGUCACCAGGAGGGCGAAGCGGCCACGGGAGGGGGGCCCCGGGACAUUGCGCAGCAAGGAGGCUGCAGGGGCUCGGCCUGCGGGCGCCGGUCCCACGAGGCACUGCGGCCCAGGGUCUGGUGCGGAGAGGGCCCACAGUGGACUUGGUGACGCUGUAUGCCCUCACCGCUCAGCCCCUGGGGCUGGCUUGGCAGACAGUACAGCAUCCAGGGGAGUCAAGGGCAUGGGGCGAGACCAGACUAGGCGAGGCGGGCGGGGCGGAGUGAAUGAGCUCUCAGGAGGGAGGAUGGUGCAGGCAGGGGUGAGGAGCGCAGCGGGCGGCGAGCGGGAGGCACUGGCCUCCAGAGCCCGUGGCCAAGGCGGGCCUCGCGGGCGGCGACGGAGCCGGGAUCGGUGCCUCAGCGUUCGGGCUGGAGACGAGGCCAGGUCUCCAGCUGGGGUGGACGUGCCCACCAGCUGCCGAAGGCCAAGACGCCAGGUCCGGUGGACGUGACAAGCAGGACAUGACAUGGUCCGGUGUGACGGCGAGGACAGAGGAGGCGCGUCCGGCCUUCCUGAACACCUUAGGCUGGUGGGGCUGCGGCAAGAAGCGGGUCUGUUUCUUUACUUCCUCCACGGAGUCGGCACACUAUGGCUGCCCUCUGGGCUCCCAGAACCCACAACAUGAAAGAGAAAUGGUGCUACCCAGCUCAAGCCUGGGCCUUUGAAUCCGGACACAAAACCCUCUAGCUUGGAAAUGAAUAUGCUGCACUUUACAACCACUGCACUACCUGACUCAGGAAUCGGCUCUGGAAGGUGAAGCUAGAGGAACCAGACCUCAUCAGCCCAACAUCAAAGACACCAUCGGAACAGCAGCGCCCGCAGCACCCACCCCGCACCGGCGACUCCAUCUUCAUGGCCACCCCCUGCGGCGGACGGUUGACCACCAGCCACCACAUCAUCCCAGAGCUGAGCUCCUCCAGCGGGAUGACGCCGUCCCCACCACCUCCCUCUUCUUCUUUUUCAUCCUUCUGUCUCUUUGUUUCUGAGCUUUCCUGUCUUUCCUUUUUUCUGAGAGAUUCAAAGCCUCCACGACUCUGUUUCCCCCGUCCCUUCUGAAUUUAAUUUGCACUAAGUCAUUUGCACUGGUUGGAGUUGUGGAGACGGCCUUGAGUCUCAGUACGAGUGUGCGUGAGUGUGAGCCACCUUGGCAAGUGCCUGUGCAGGGCCCGGCCGCCCUCCAUCUGGGCCGGGUGACUGGGCGCCGGCUGUGUGCCCGAGGCCUCACCCUGCCCUCGCCUAGUCUGGAAGCUCCGACCGACAUCACGGAGCAGCCUUCAAGCAUUCCAUUACGCCCCAUCUCGCUCUGUGCCCCUCCCCACCAGGGCUUCAGCAGGAGCCCUGGACUCAUCAUCAAUAAACACUGUUACAGCAA